rnacentral:rRNA from 1 species
GACUGCUAUCGGAUUGAUACUAAGCCAUGCGAGUCUUUGUAGUAAUACAAGGCAGACGGCUCAGUAACACGUAGUCAACCUACCCUAUGGACAAGAAUAAUCUCGGGAAACUGGGCAUAAUUCUUGAUAGAUCAUAAUGCCUGGAAUGGUUUAUGGUUAAAAUGAUUCGUCGCCAUAGGAUGGGACUGCGGCCUAUCAGCUUGUUGGUGAGGUAAUGGCCCACCAAGGCGAUUACAGGUACGGGCUCUGAGAGGAGAAGCCCGGAGAUGGGUACUGAGACACGGACCCAGGCCCUAUGGGGCGCAGCAGGCGAGAAAACUUUGCAAUGUGCGAAAGCACGACAAGGUUAAUCCGAGUGAUUUCUGCUAAAGAAAUCUUUUGCCAGUCAUAAAACCACUGGUGAAUAAGGGGUGGGCAAGUUCUGGUGUCAGCCGCCGCGGUAAAACCAGCACCUCAAGUGGUCAGGAUGAUUAUUGGGCCUAAAGCAUCCGUAGCCGGCUUUGUUAGUUUUCGGUUAAAUCCAUGUGCUCAACGCAUGGGCUGCCGAAAAUACUGCAGGGCUAGGGAGUGGGAGAGGUAGACGGUACUCAGUAGGAAGGGGUAAAAUCCUUUGAUCUAUUGAUGACCACCUGUGGCGAAGGCGGUCUACCAGAACACGUUCGACGGUGAGGGAUGAAAGCUGGGGGAGCAAACCGGAUUAGAUACCCGGGUAGUCCCAGCUGUAAACGAUGCAGACUCGAUGAUGCAUUGGCAUAUAGCCAGUGCAGUGUCGCAGGGAAGCCGUUAAGUCUGCCGCCUGGGAAGUACGUACGCAAGUAUGAAACUUAAAGGAAUUGGCGGGGGAGCACCACAAGGGGUGAAGCCUGCGGUUCAAU